CUCAUGUCCCCAUAAUGCCAGGCCAGAUCCGCUGACCCUCCAAACGUCUUCUCAGGAUAUGGGAAUGGGAGACCUUCCCCCUGGUACCCACACGGUCUGCUCCGUAGUGCCUUCUGGAGCUCAGCCUUGGAGUCAGAUAGAUCAGGCUCCCGUCUUAUUCUGCCACUGCCUGUGUGACCUUCAGGGAUUCGUGAACCCCUCUGAACCUCAGUUGUCUCAUCUGUAAGAUGGGGGUUAAGAUGUUUCUGCGAGCACAAGUCUGUAAAAGUCAAGCAAACAAACCAGGCCUCACUAAAAGGGAUCCUUCCUUGUCCUCCUCUCCAGUGCUUCCCACCUCAGCAUGGCUCCUGGCUGGCCUGGCUGUGCCCUUAGCUUUUUCAGUAACUCCCAAACCCUCUAGUGCCACCCGGUACCCAGGCCUCAGACCCCAUCCUGCAUCUGAGGAUCCCCUUGUUCUGGAGGAGGGAAGAAGGCAGGCAGCUGCACCCGCAGCUUCUCCGACACCAAGAGGCUGUGGUGGGGGAGCAGCCCCACUCAGGAUUCACUGCAGCCCGGCCGGAUGCUCUGCAGGUGGGCACCUCCGGCUUUCCUGGCACCAGCACCGCGUGGGCCCAGCCAGCUGCUCCUGCUGCCACUUUGCCCCGUGGGAGGGACUCCCACUAGCUCCUGUCCUGCUUCCUGGCCCUGCUGAGAGCAUCCUGGGGUCUGCAGGUCUGGUCAAAGAUUCCCAUUUGGCAUCGGUGC
rnacentral:lncRNA from 1 species